rnacentral:rRNA from 1 species
UACAGAGGUGACUAACGUUGUCCGGAAUUAUUGGGCGUAAAGGGCGCGUAGGUGGUCAGGUAAGUCAGGUGUGAAAGCCUCUGGCUAACCCAGGAAUUGCAUCUGAUACUGCUUGGCUUGAGUACGGUAGAGGAGGGUGGAAUUCCAGUGUAGCGGUGAAAUGCGUAGAUAUUGGGAGGAACACCGGUGGCGAAGGCGGCCUCUGGACCGAACUGACACUGAAGCGCGAAAGCUAGGGAGCAA